GUCCCUGUAGCGCAAUGGAUAGCGCAUUGGACUUCUAAUCCAAAGGUCGCGCGUUCGAAUCCCACAUGGGAUA